rnacentral:lncRNA from 1 species
CUAAAUUGCAAGUUAAGCAAGCAGAAAACAUCCUUGAGCUCUCAAACAUUGUCCCCUUUUGAGCCCACGGAAACAACAAAUCAUAAAAAAGAAAUAAAUAUAUGCAAAGGCCACAUGCAUUACAUGCAGUCCAACCAAAACGCAAGUCUACCCAACAAACUACAGGGAAUUGCACGAGCAGCUUGGCGAAGACAAGCAAGGGCGUCAUUGCACCUUCUGCGCUCUCUGGCAUGAAUCAUCCUCUGGGUCACGAAGGGUUCCCAGCAUCCAAUCCAUCCAUAUAGUAUAAUGGCCGUAAUUAUGCUUGUAUGUGGUAUGGUGAAUGGUGUGGUACCCAGCACCC